rnacentral:tRNA from 1 species
GCUCGCGUAGCUCAGUGGUAGAGCAUUGUACUUAUGGGUUAACAUCUUCACCCACGCAGGAUAUGCAAGGGUCUCCGGUUCAAUCCCGGGCGUGAGCA